rnacentral:tRNA from 1 species
CGGCGCGUAGUUCAGUCAGUAGAACAUCGGGCUCCUACCCCGAAUGGCGCAGGGGCAGAACCUGCCGCGCCGG